UACGUAGGGUGCAAGCGUUGUCCGGAAUUAUUGGGCGUAAAGGGCUCGUAGGCGGCCAACUAAGUCAGACGUGAAAUCCCUCAGCUUAACUGGGGAACUGCGUCUGAUACUGGAUGGCUUGGAUUCGGGAGAGGAAUGCGGAAUUCCAGGUGUAGCGGUGAAAUGCGUAGAUAUCUGGAGGAACACCGGUGGCGAAGGCGGCAUUCUGGACCGAUAUUGACGCUGAGGAGCGAAAGCCAGGGGAGCAAACGGG
rnacentral:rRNA from 1 species